GGAGGUUACUGCUAUCGGUGUUCGCCUAACCCAUGCGAGUCAUAUGUUCUUCGUGAACAUGGCGUACUGCUCAGUAACACGUGAAUAACCUGCCCUUGGGACCGGCAUAACCCCGGGAAACUGGGGAUAAUUCCGGAUACCGCAUAUAUGCUGGAAUGCUUUAUGCGUGAAAUGGAUUCGUCUGCCCAAGGAUGGGUCUGCGGCCUAUCAGGUAGUAGUGGGUGUAAUGUACCUACUACCCUACAACGGGUACGGGUUGUGAGAGCAAGAGCCCGGAAAUGGAUUCUGAGACAUGAAUCCAGGCCCUACGGGGCGCAGCAGGCGCGAAAACUUUACAAUGCGGGAAACCGUGAUAAGGGGACACCGAGUGCCAGCAACAUUUGUUGGCUGUCCAGGUGUGUAAACUACACCUGUUAGCAAGGGCCGGGCAAGACCGGUGC
rnacentral:rRNA from 1 species